UGAGUUCUCACGAGGUCUGGUUGUUUGAAAGUGUGCAGCACUUCCCCCUUCUCUCUUUCCCUCUCCUGCUCUGGUUAUGUGAAGACUAUGACUACUUCACCUUCACUUUCCACCGUGAUUGUGAGUUUCCUAAGACUUCCCAACCAUACUUCCUCUACAGCCUGCACAACUGCGAGCCAGUUAAACCUCUUUUCUUUACAAAUUACCCAGCCUCAGGCACUUCUGUGGAGCAAGA